UUUGCUGUCUGUGUUACAUUAGAGGGGCACUGAAACAAAAUAACUAGACGUGCCUGAAAGGAAUGGCUGGUUUUAGGCUGGCAAAGUCACCCAUUGCUGUGUGUCAGUUGCAGGAGAGUCUUAGGAAUGAGCAGCAUGAAUGUUGGGUGAUAUUACUGAAUAUUCUGGCAGAUCAGAAGCAUUCCUGAUUGAAUACUAUUGCAUUGCUCCUUCCCAGAACUACACCCUGAGUUAAACUUGUCUUGUGACUAUGCUGUGCCUGACUGACUGAUAUUGUGUGACUCUUGGACUGGACUCUGGACUAUUCCUUUGUAUACUCCCCUGUUGUGCUGCCCUCAAUAGAGGAAUGAAAUAAGCCAAGAUAUAAGCAAAUAACUGGUGGUAAUCACCCUAAAAUGACAUAGAAGGCUCAUCUCUGAUGUGAGCAGCUGAGAAAAAUAUGGAAACUCCUUUCCUGAUCUCCAU